AACGAACGCUGGCGGCAUGCCUAACACAUGCAAGUCGAACGAGACCUUCGGGUCUAUUGGCGCACGGGUGCGUAACGCGUGGGAACCUGCCCUUAGGUUCGGAAUAACUCCCCGAAAGGGGUGCUAAUACCGGAUAAUGUCUUCGGACCAAAGAUUUAUCGCCUUUGGAUGGGCCCGCGUUGGAUUAGCUAGUUGGUAGGGUAAAAGCCUACCAAGGCGACGAUCCAUAGCUGGUCUGAGAGGAUGAUCAGCCACACUGGGACUGAGACACGGCCCAGACUCCUACGGGAGGCAGCAGUGGGGAAUAGUGGACAAUGGGCGAAAGCCUGAUCCGGUAAUGCCGCGUGAGUGAUGAAGGCCUUAGGGUUGUAAAGCUCUUUUACCCGGGAUGAUAAUGACAGUACCGGGAGAAUAAGCUCCGGCUAACUCCGUG
rnacentral:rRNA from 1 species